rnacentral:rRNA from 1 species
CAGUCGCCGCGGUAACACGUAGGGUGCGAGCGUUAAUCGGAAUUACUGGGCGUAAAGCGUGCGCAGGCGGUUUUGUAAGACAGGCGUGAAAUCCCCGGGCUCAACCUGGGAAUGGCGCUUGUGACUGCAAAGCUAGAGUGCGGCAGAGGGGGAUGGAAUUCCGCGUGUAGCAGUGAAAUGCGUAGAUAUGCGGAGGAACACCGAUGGCGAUGGCAAUCCCCUGGGCCUGCACUGACGCUCAUGCGCGAAAGCGUGGGGAGCAAACAGGAUUAGAUACCCCAGUAGUCCCUGUCUCUUAUAC